rnacentral:rRNA from 1 species
GAUGAACGCUGGCGGCGUGCCUAAUACAUGCCAGUCGAGCGAACAGAUGAGGAGCUUGCUCCUCUGACGUUAGCGGCGGACGGGUGAGUAACACGUGGAUAACCUACCUAUAAGACUGGGAUAACUUCGGGAAACCGGAGCUAAUACCGGAUAAUAUAUUGAACCGCAUGGUUCAAUAGUGAAAGACGGUUUUGCUGUCACUUAUAGAUGGAUCCGCGCCGCAUUAGCUAGUUGGUAAGGUAACGGCUUACAAAGGCGACGAUGCGUAGCCGACCUGAGAGGGUGAUCGGCCACACUGGAACUGAGACACGGUCCAGACUCCUACGGGAGGCAGCAGUAGGGAAUCUUCCGCAAUGGGCGAAAGCCUGACGGAGCAACGCCGCGUGAGUGAUGAAGGUCUUCGGAUCGUAAAACUCUGUUAUUAGGGAAGAACAAAUGUGUAAGUAACUAUGCACGUCUUGACGGUACCUAAUCAGAAAGCCACGGCUAACUACGUG